UUGUAGAUGACAAAGAAAAAAAAAUAUCCCCUUUCAACAGUUGCAUGAUGACUAAUCACAAGUGGGUGUGGCCUAUGAUGGUGGUGUCCGGCAGUUGCCAGUUUGUCGCCAGACAAAACAAUUCCAUCAGCACAGCAACUGAUGUGUAUGGCAGUGUAAGGGUUAAAUAGUGAUCACUUUAAAAUUAAUUAAGGUAACUGGUUAAAAAUUAGCAGACUUAUUAAAAAGCACAGUCAAAAACGUUACUUUUGAGAAAACGGGGUGCAAAGAUAAGAGAGUCUCCAUGAUGCUGUUCUACAACCUAACAGAAGUUUUGAGGCUAGUAAACAAGUUCACUCUAGAGAUGUUUGUUCCUCAUUUUUUUUUUUAUUAAUGGCCUGUUUAUACUGUUGUUGUUCUUCUUGAGGCCCUUGUGAAGUAUGGAGGUGUAUGGCAGGCCGAGACAGUAAUGAAGAUUGCUGGUGAUGUAACCACUGUUGUACUUCAUCGUCGCCACAGCUACUAUGAAGUUGAGCUUUCUUUUUUGUAGCUCUGAGGUGCUUCAGACAGUGUAGCCAAAUGCGGCUGUGGAAGGACUCAUUUGGGUAUUGUGUGAGUCACUACAGACAUCUUUUCAUCAUUUCAUCUGAUGAACCUGUCUCAGCCAAUCAGAACCAAAGUAAUUUUCUGCCAUUACUUUAAUGUGAAUCAUGUCUAAUGUGGGCCAUUAGUGAAAACUCCCCCUUGCAUUGGCAGUGACCUAACUGUGUGGCAGUGACCUAACUGUGUAUGUCAAUGAAUGCAGAUGGAGAUGACGACACAACCAAGAAAGAAGAGAAUUAAUCCAACAGAGAGAGAUCCAAGAAGUGAAAAUCAGAAGAUUGCACUGGGCUGGAGACUUCUAGAAUGGAAGAUGACAGACAACCUAAAUUAGCAUUUGAACAAGAGAGAAAAAUGCAGACCUAUGGGUUGCUGAAAAUACAGAUGAAAUGGUAAUGUGAUAAAGGAUCUACAAAACAUCUUGAAGAAUGAAGCACAGUGGCUAUCACAUGUGACCUAGCCUGAGAACCACUGGAGUAAUAUUAAGCAUGGAAUGAGUAUUAAAAUGUACUGUCUCUUCUAGUAGUUAGAAGGCUCCUAAACAUGGUAGUGUAUUCAUAUUUUUCAUAAAAUGCAAAAUAUAUAAGCAAUGCAUGGAACUGCUAAUAAAAACAUAUUUGCAAUAUCCCUCAAGUGACCAGUGUGGCUAGAGUCCACUGACAAAGUGUGUACAAGGAAUGUGUGAUGUUUUUAAAAGUUCUGUGCCUUGCCUGUAUAACAUUUUAUAAAAAUUUUUUUUAUACAAUAUUGUGUUCAGAAGACAUCUAUAAAAAGAAACAAUUUUAGGGUUCAUUCCUAAACUACCGAGAUUAAAAAAAAAGUUUGUAAAAUGUAUUAAAGACAUUAAAGAGCAGUUCUUUGACUUUGACUCAUUAUUUCUUCAUUUUUUGGUUUUACUGUCUUCACUAAUAGAUCUGAAUUCUACAACCAACACUGCACUUCAUGGUAUUAACCAAAAUGGCCUAUCUAGUAUAUGAGUUCAACUAUGGCAGGUAAUAAAGAAGCACGUCUUUUAUGUCACUCACCCAGCAAACUUGCACAAGAAAUGUUAACUGUUAACUUUUCUUGAAAAAGCCUGUUGGCUUACAGUGUUGCCAUCAUGCAAUUGCUGCUAGUGUAGAUAUCCCUAUCAAUUGUAAUAUUUAAAAAAAUUCUUGCCUCUACUCAUUCUUGCUUUCACUAGCCUUCUCACUCUUCACUAGCCUUCUCAACCACAUAGGGAAAGUGCCAUAGAGCUAGCCUUGGAAGUGGUUAGUAAACAAAAAAAAAAAUGAUGACAGCUGUUUUGAACUACAGUCUGAACAGUGAAGAAAUCAAGCAAGUAUGUGGUUAACUGAGAAUAAUUUCAGUGUUUUGGACUGGCCUUGGAACUCCCUAUACCUAAAUCCAAUUGAAAAUUGUUCAAAAAAGUUACAGGACAUGGUUGCCAACACUCAGCCUGGUAAUACACAACAGUGACAAGACAUUUUGGGUGAUACCUGAAAAGCAGUCCAACCCAUGGACAUUGCAGGUCCCCUCUCCCACAAGGGAUGUUGCUGGUAUUUGAGUUGCCAUUUUUUAUUUUUUUAUUUUGAGUGAAAGAUAUAAAUGUUUUAGGUAUAUGCAGUAUUGCAUGAGAAGGAAGUGAGAACGGGUUAUGACUACCCUCUUGUGUUUUGAGACACAAAGGAAAAUGCUAAAGGUCAUGGCUGGGUCAGAGCCUUCCACCUCUUGAAACUUAUGUGCUUUACAUUUCUACCUGAAAUCACGCUUCAGCAGCCACUUAUGGCAGUGAGUAUAUAUUUUCAGCAUUACUCGGAAGAAAGGUAAAAAAUUACCAAGUAACAAUGAUGAGGAUGACAAAAACUGAGUAUCACAAUCCCAGUGACAGUGACUUAAAAAGAUAUUCAUUCACACUUUGGAACUCUGUUAGAGUGCUUUUCUCAACACCUGUCAUAAGAAUAAUAAUAAUAACAAUAUGUACCACUAAGGAUAAAAUUAAUAAAGACAAGGUUUGUCAUAAUAGUGGAAUAGACUGGUGAAUAAUGAUAUGGUUAUGCUAUCUGCUAGUUUUUAGAGGGGUGUGACAAAGAUUUGUGUACCACAAUAUGUGUGGUAGAUCAGCACUCUUCGGCUCAAUCUGAGGCAUGUGCUAUCAUUGGUUAAUCACACCUAUUUCUUAUAACUAGAGUGUCAGUGAAUGGCUGAGAUGCACAUCAUUGGGAAGUACAUCGUAACUGGCUGAUAAGAAUAAAAAGGGCCACCAUUAGCUUAUGUCGCAGAAAUGAGCAAAAACAGACUUUGUAAUUUUUGUAGGUUAUUGGAUUUUACUCAUAUUGACUUAGUUAUGAUUUAAGCUCUACAACCAGGUGACCCUGUCAACAAUAAGCCUUGACCCAGAAAGCAUGACAAUAACCCUUCCAAUGAUGUUUAUGAUGUUAUUUAAAUUCUGACAGGACAGCAUACAUUGUACUGACUCAAAUCUUAAAUACUAAAAGGAUAAGAAAAGAAUUAAGUUAACACAUGAAAAACACAAACAUACAUACCCUGCCAUAUUUGCUAUUUUCUUGUCUUUGUUGAUGCUGUUAUUCUGCUUUCAAUGAGUGGUCUUGCAGCUUUGAUUCUGUGAGAAAUAAAAUAAGGUGUUAUUCUCUCUAUACAGGGAAAAUAAUUUUCUUACUAAAACUCCACACUACCAGAAUUUACAAUACUAAUUUGCUUAUACACAAAUGGUUGAAAUUAUAAAUCUAUGAAUUUCCUUAUGAUGACAAAGUAAUUUAAUGGUCCAUGACAUGAAUUAAUUUAAGAAUUCAUUCAUGGCAGUGAGCAUCAAAUUACACAAUCAUGUUUUCCCUCACUUAUAAAUGUUUGUGAUUCUUUUUAAUUUUUAGUAGUUUAUUUUCUAGUUUUUACUUGACUGUGCACUUCAUGUAAUUCUCAUACAUAUCUGUUUUUAGUAUAACUUUCAACUUUGAAUUUAACUGCUCUGGAACCAAAAAGUUUCAAUUUGUGUAUACAAAUUGACUGAAUAAAAUUUAGUAUAUAUUAUCAUUAAGUAGGUACCAAACUGAUUUCAGUAUAAUAAUAAUGCUGUGUCACUGAAGGUGAAAAUCUGAUCUACCUGAAAAGUAUCUUAUAUUAGCCCGUGUAAAAAAAAAAAAAAAAGUAAAUAAAUAAAUAAAAAAAAAAAAGUGGCCAAUUCUUUGGAUUCUAAUGAAGUUCAGUGUGUGCCCCUUGUGAGUCCACAAACUCAUACUUUUAAGUAAGGAGUCUUGUAAACCUAAGGAAUUCAGUGCUUGGUCUAGAAAUCCUGGAUCUUGUAAAAAGAAAAGAUCAAGGUGUUGUCACAAUGAAGCUGCUACAGUAAAAUCCCUCUCAUCCGGCAUUCGAGUAUCCGGCAGCUUCAAGUAUCCGGCACAUUUUUCCCCGAGCCUUAAAAUCAAUAAAAAAUCAAUGUGUACUCAUAAAAUCGAUUAAAAUUCCCACGCGAGACAUACUUUGUCCCUUCGCCACCAGAGCGCACUGCUUCGUGCCACCUGCGGCCCACUGCACUGUGUUUACUCAGUGACUCAGUCCUGCGUGUGCACUGUUUAUCGCCUGACGCCUUCAUCAUGCCUAAAGUUGUAGAAAAGAGGAAGCGUGUUGUGCUUACACUUAAGCAGCUGAUCAGAUCAGCUGCUGAUUAAGAUCAGCUGAUCUUUGUUAUGGUAAGAUGCGUGAGUGUAGGGUGGUGAUUGUGGACAUAAUUUCACUUCUAUUCAAGUAUCCAGCAAUAUUCAAGUAUUCGGCAUGUUGGUGGUCCCGUUGAUGCCGGAUAAGAGGGAUUUUACUGCAUAUGUUUCACUAUUGCAUGUCCAGUUCUUUCCACCUAAACCAAGAUUUCUUGGUCAAGAACCAAAUUCCUCAGGUUCACAAGACUCCAUACUCUCCAGAUAUAUUUGUUCCCAAUGCUAAAUAUACUAUAUCCCGGAUUGAGAGGGUUGAAAUUACCAUAAUCCUCCCUGAAAUCUCUUAUCCACACCCCACUCUCUCUUAGUAGUUUGAAAUGGGUGCACUGGGAAGUAUGCGCAAUGUAAUCUGAGGGAUGCUGUAAUUUGCUAAAGUGAGAGUAUUUCACAAUCACCAUGUCAAAACCAGGCAAGGAAGGAUAUUAGCUAGCUGUAGGAGAUAAAAGGAGAUAACAGCAUAGAUCCCAGGUUAUUAGGUGAUGCUGAUAAGAAUGUAGGCCAAUCACAAUCAGCCAGACUCAUGUGGAACAAUACUGACACCCAACCUGAGGACCACAUGGGCAUGACUCGUUUUUUUUACUGGCUUGACACGUGUUCUUCUACUCAGAUGAGUGCCCAGACCAGCUACAUUCCUACCUACUUCAGUCUUCCUGGGUAAAACACAUUCUAUAAUAAAUAUAUUAUGUUCUCUCAGAAUUUUCUGUACAAUAGGACAAUACACUACUCCAUGCCCCCUAAUUCAAGGGUCAAGAAGAUAUUGUACACAACAUGACAGUAUACCUGGUAGCCAUUCUGGAACAGGAUUUCCAAAAAAUGUUUCCAACAAUGAAAGAAUUGAAGGGCUGAAUGUGUGAAGUCGCACGGGAAACAAUGAAGAAAAUUUGAGUUACAUACCCAAAAAAGUACAUUUUUUGUCCCUUGGUCUAAGGUCAGAUAUUUUGGAAGAGAUCUCAUAUUGUGAUACUAAAUUAUGUAGCACAGAAAUAUAAAAAGAUUUGUGGUUGUAAAUGUAGUGCAGUUUUAAUUCAUCUGGUGCUGUGACACCAAUGUAUAUGAUUUAUAAUGUGAUUUUCUUACUUUGAAAAGCAUGUAACAUUUAUUGUUUAAAAUUUAAUAUUGUGCUAUUGCUUUGUUCCAUAUUUCAGUUGUUUCUGUAAUCAAGCAUCAACACUUGUUCAUAACACUAUACUGAAUCAGUUUAGUUAACUGUAUGUGACAGUCCAUCAACCUGAGUCUCCCCCCUGUGGGUGGUGCAAGCUGAACAACCAAGUUGCAUUAUUUGCAUCCAAUAUAUCAAAAUAUAUCUCCUUUGCUUGUGCUCCUUUGUCCCAUUCCAUCACUCACACAUGUGUACUUACCCCAAAACUCUAGUAUGUUUGGUGUGACCAUGACUGACGAGAUGGAUGAUGAUGAUGAUGAUACAAUAGAAUGAGGACAACAUAUUCCCUUAAACCACCUUCAAUCAUAGAGCUGUCAGCAGAAGGAUUCCUAAUUUCAUCUACAAUGCACUUCCAUCCAAAAUUGCAUGUAUAGCAUCUCUCAGUGGAGACUCUCAAUGCAAGAUCUUUCAAGACUUUGAAGCUUGAAGUGAUCAAACUGUUUGAAUGAAGUAAGUCAAAGCUGGUUGAGCAACUAUAUGCUCACACUCUAUCAAAAGCUUUUGAUAUGUCCUACAGCAAAAGUUUUGCCAAAAUCUCUAAAAGAGGAUAACCAAGACUCAGUAAGGAAAGUAGCAGUAGAGUGGUCUUGAUGGAACCCAUACUGGCAAUCAGAUAAAGGGUUUUGAAGUGGUAGAUGUUUAAGAAUCUUCCUGUUGAGGAUUGAUUAAAAAACUUUAGAUAGGCAGUGUAGCCGCCGUGUAUGUACAACUUACACGACGGCUAGAGAUACGCAAAUACGUACAUUGUAAUGUGACAUUUUAUGUUUUAUUUUGUUACUGUUAUAUUAUUUGUAGCAACUGGUUAUUAUACAUGAGCAGUGUAUGGCGCGCCUGCAUGCCGGCACAACAGAGUGAGAGGGCAACAUAGGGCCGAGGGGACACGUUGAACUUGCCCUCUCAGCUAUUUCGGCGCUGUUGUUGUGACGCGAGUGUUGAUAACGUACCACAGCAUAAUGAACAUCAUACGCCGUAGGGGCCCAGCAGCGUCUCCAAAGCCACUUCACAACAGUCACGCCUACAUGUCAGACAUGUCUCGGGAGGUGCGGAGAGUAAAUCCCAGUAAAUCCCCGAGUUCUCAUCCCAGUAAAUCCCCAAGUGUAAUCCCUUGCAUACAACCACGAGGACACCUGUUCCCCGCACUGUGUAUGUAUUCAUCAUAGUAUUAGAUAAUAGAUACUUAUGUAACCAUGAAGAUUUAAUGAUGUGUGUCAACAUAAUUAAUGUGACUAUGUACAUGUAUAGUAAUUAGAUACUUACAUAAUUGUGAGUUAUGUAAUUGUGAAAAUUUAGCUAUGUGUGUUAGUAUAAGUACACUUAACGUAACAUAAUGAUGUACAUCAGAUCACGCAGACAAGAGGACAACUUGCUGUGUUUGUGCUGGCGGUGUUUAUCUGUAGAACUGACUGAACCCGCUAAAGUGUAGGUAACUCUGUAUUGACUCGCAUAUGUUACGGAAUUGACAAAGUGAAGCAUCACGACAUUGAUGUACUGCAAUACUUGUUUUACCUAUUGAUAUACUUUUUGCUGUUAUUCUCCGUAUUAGUGAUAAUAUGUUAAUUCACAGGUUUGACCACUUCUAAAUACAAAGAGUGCGUACUGCA